rnacentral:rRNA from 1 species
AACGAACGCUGGCGGCAUGCCUAACACAUGCAAGUCGAACGAGACCUUCGGGUCUAGUGGCGCACGGGUGCGUAACGCGUGGGAACCUGCCCUUAGGUUCGGAAUACCUCCCCGAAAGGGGUGCUAAUACCGGAUAAUGUCUUCGGACCAAAGAUUUAUCGCCUUUGGAUGGGCCCGCGUUGGAUUAGCUGGUUGGUAGGGUAAAAGCCUACCAAGGCGACGAUCCAUAGCUGGUCUGAGAGGAUGAUCAGCCACACUGGGACUGAGACACGGCCCAGACUCCUACGGGAGGCAGCAGUGGGGAAUAUUGGACAAUGGGCGAAAGCCUGAUCCAGCAAUGCCGCGUGAGUGAUGAAGGCCUUAGGGUUGUAAAGCUCUUUUACCCGGGAUGAUAAUGACAGUACCGGGAGAAUAAGCUCCGGCUAACUCCGAG